AGCAACAUAGCUUAAUGGAAAAAGCAUAGGCCUGGAAGUCAGAAGGACCUGGGUUCUAAUCCCAGUUGUGCCA
rnacentral:tRNA from 1 species